AUGAACGCUGGCGGCGUGCCUAAUCCAUGCAAGUCGAGCGAACGGACGAGAAGCUUGCUUCUCUGAUGUUAGCGGCGGACGGGUGAGUAACACGUGGAUAACCUACCUAUAAGACUGGGAUAACUUCGGGAAACCGGAGCUAAUACCGGAUAAUAUUUUGAACCGCAUGGUUCAAAAGUGAAAGACGGUCUUGCUGUCACUUAUAGAUGGAUCCGCGCUGCAUUAGCUAGUUGGUAAGGUAACGGCUUACCAAGGCAACGAUGCAUAGCCGACCUGAGAGGGUGAUCGGCCACACUGGAACUGAGACACGGUCCAGACUCCUACGGGAGGCAGCAGUAGGGAAUCUUCCGCAAUGGGCGAAAGCCUGACGGAGCAACGCCGCGUGAGUGAUGAAGGCCUUCGGAUCGUAAAACUCUGUUAUUAGGGAAGAACAUAUGUGUAAGUAACUGUGCACAUCUUGACGGUACCUAAUCAGAAAGCCACGGCUAACUACGUG
rnacentral:rRNA from 1 species